AGCCCAUGGUGCAAACAUCUUUUAAGCAAACCUUUAAAUUGUUCACAAGCCUCAUAUAAGGAUUCACCAUCAAAUUGUGUGAAUGAAGUUGUAUCAUUCCUCAAAUU
rnacentral:snoRNA from 1 species